rnacentral:rRNA from 1 species
CCUACGGGGGGCUGCAGUGGGGAAUUUUGGACAAUGGGCGCAAGCCUGAUCCAGCUAUUCCGCGUGUGGGAAGACGGCCUUCGGGUUGUAAACCACUGUUUUAGAGGACGAAAAGUCUAUUGAUAAUACCGAUAGACGAUGACAGUACCCUAAGAGUAAGCACCGGCUAACUACGUGACAGCAGCCGCGGUAAUACGUAGGGUGCGAGCGUUAAUCGGAUUUACUGGGCGAAAAGGGUGUGCAGGCGGUUUUGCAAGAUGGAUGUGAAAGCCCCGGGUUUAACCUGGGAAAGCCAUACAUGACUGCAAGACUAGAGUGCGUCAGAGGGGAGUGGAAUUCCAAGUGUAGCAGUGAAAUGCGUAGAUAUUUGGAAGAACACCGAUGGCGAAGGCAGCCCCCUGGGACGCAACUGACGCUCAUACACGAAAGCGUGGGGAGCAAACAGGAUUAGAUACCCUGUAGUC